ACUGCCUGCCCAGUGACAACCGUUAAACGGCCGCGGUAUCCUGACCGUGCAAAGGUAGCAUAAUCACUUGUUCUCUAAAUAAGGACUUGUAUGAAUGGCCACACGAGGGUUUUACUGUCUCUUGCUUCCAAUCAGUGAAAUUGACCUUCCCGUGAAGAGGCGGGAAUAUAUUAAUAAGACGAGAAGACCCUAUGGAGCUUUAACUACUUAGCCCAAAGAAACAAAAUUUAUUUCUAAGGAAACAACAACAUUCUUUAUGGGCUAACAGCUUUGGUUGGGGUGACCUCGGAGAAUAAGAAAUCCUCCGAGCGAUUUUAAAGACUAGACCCACAAGUCAAAUCACAUAAUCGCUUAUUGAUCCAAAAAAUUGAUCAAUGGAACAAGUUACCCUAGGGAUAACAGCGCAAUCCUAUUCGAGAGUCCAUAUCGACAAUAGGGUUUACGACCUCGAUGUUGGAUCAGGACAUCCUGAUGGUGCAACCGCUAUCAAAGGUU
rnacentral:rRNA from 1 species